rnacentral:lncRNA from 1 species
GCCGCGCUCCCCGAUCUCCACUCCCCCCAGAGCAGCCCUCACUCCCCGCCCCCGCAGCACCAGCCCAGGGGCGGGGCGAAACCGGGGCUCCCUCCUUUCUCCCCUCCCGCUCCAGGACCGGAGCAGUGGGGAUCCCCUCGGCGGGGCCGGCGCCGGGGUCCCGGGCGCUGACACUUCCUGUCCCCCUCGGAGUCCCCAGAUGCUACGAGUGCCGUCUCGCAGCCCGGAUCCCCAUGACAAGCCCGUCGCCGCCCGCCUGUCCCCAGUCACCCUCCGUGCCUCACGGAGAGCCUCCCGCUAGCCUGCCCCCGCCCCUCCGCCCGCGGCCGCCUCUGCGCCUGCGCAGCGCUCCCUGCGAAUAAGGCCGGGGCCCGCCCCUACCGCCUACCGGAGGGUUCGCAUUCUCCCGCCUUCGCUCCGCCGCCCGGGCGAUUGGUCUGCCGGCUCUGGGCUAGCGGGGGAGGGUGUGGGGGGCGGCCAAACGGCAGGCCGCGCCCCGCCCCCCUUAAAGGGGAAGCCCGGGGAGCCAGUCUCUGCGCCUCGCGUCUGAAUGGGACCCGGGAGGGGAGGCGGCUCGGUCCUUCGUGCCGUCCUCCCCGCUGGGAGGGGCAGCUCCAGCUCCGCUCGGCUCGCUCCGCCCGGCCACACCGGCUUUUUCCCCAUCAGGCGGUCCGAGUGCGGCUCCUCGCGAGCCUGCAAAGGAGCAGCAGGCGGUUCCUUUUCGGACGACCUGGAGCGAGGCCUGCGGGACUGCGCGCCCCGGCGGGCGGCGUGCGGCUCCCGGCAUGCGCGGCGGCUGCGUUCCCGCCGCCUCCGAGCUCGCCUGGGGCUGCCGCCCGCCUCCUGCCGGGCCCUCGGGCUCGCCCGGCACCGCGGGGCUUGAUCAGGGAGGUAGGCGGUGCUCCCUCCGGCCCCCGGCGUCGUGUGCCCUGCGGGUUUCGUGGCCCUUCCCCUACGCUGGAAUCUUCUGUGUCAUUUAGGGGGAGGGGAUGCGGGACGGCAUCUGUUUGACAACGCAUUGGUCCCACAGACAGCCUUUAAAAACAACUGCUUUUGGGGGGUGUCAGAACAUUUAAGCACAGGACGUCGGUGAGGCUUCCUGGCGGAGUGGGGCACACGCCAGCUUUACGGGACUUUUUGCUCAGUCCUGCCCCAGGACUGCAAUCGGAGGGGACCUGGGGCAUGGAGGAGACGCGAGUGAAAACCUAGUCAGCGGGCGGGCCCUCGGCCCCAUAAUCUACGUGAUCUCCUAGUGGGGUUUAAUUUCGGUGUAGUGUAAAUGAGAUGUCAGGCAGAGGAGCUGAUUUUAAUUACAGAUGGACAUUUUUGAAAGAAAUGGGUGCAAAUAGAAUGAAUGCAUGGAUAAUUUUAAUGGAAUGCCUAUGUAAACAAGGCCAAUUGUGAGUACUACCUUUGAGUUAAAAUGUGAGUGAGUGGUGACAAAUUUGGAUCUUCUUAGAUCCAGUUUGCAGCGUUGGUACACCUGAAUGGUGACCUAUUUAGAGCACUUUUGAAACAGCUGUUAAUAGUAACUAGCCUUUGACUUGCAAAGAGAAAUCUAGAUCUUUAUCUAGAGGAAAUUUUAAAUUUCAAACCAAAAUAAAGCACUCCAGGCAAUUUGACAUCUUGGGACGUCAACUAUUUCAAAGGACUGGGAAAUUGUCUUGGGUUAUUAUCCUAGGACACUGAGGUUUGGGCCAGUAUUAAGCAACCCAGACAGUACAGUGGAUAGUAUUUCUGAGAACAUUCUGGGAUUUUACUGUUCGUGAAAUCUUUCGGCCGGGUCUUGUCAAAAAACCGCCACUGUGAAGAACUGAAUUUUACUGGUUUUUACUUGAACCCUGCUAUUUUUGUUUUCUCACAAGUUUGAAUAAGCUGGUCUUUAUCAAAGGCGCAAAAUAAUGUGGGGUGCCUUGUUACAGGUCAGACACCGAAUGUACCUAUGGAUUUUAUUCAGUCUGAUAAGUGAUCUGCAAGUAGAUAAGAAAUGUGUUUAGAAACUAGAAGGGGAAAAAGGCAAAGAUGCAGAAUACCUAGAGUACUCCAGAAACAGAGCAAGAUGAGAGGAGGGAUGAGCAUGGGAUAGGAGACAUUUAUAGCAUUAUUGUCACCUUUUAUAAUUCUGUUGAACAGGCUGGUAAAAAAGCAAAAACAAUCCAAAGAAUAUUUUAGCUGGUACUGAUCUAAAACUGUAAAACACUGUAAUAUGAUAAUAUAUGUAUAUGUAUGAAUUAUUUUAGGCAUGCUUUUCUUGCUAUAUUUAUUUUAAGAGAUUAAUCUACGGCUUAUUCUUGCCACCCCCAAAAAAAAUCGCCACAAACCCUAAACCCAACUCUUGACCUUGGUUAUUGAGCGCUGUCCUUCCCUUCUGAGUGGUCACUUAACUGGAAAUAUGGGGCCUCUUCAGAUUGAAUUUCUUGUCUUCUAAAUGCAAAAUUUAAAAUCUCCCGUUCUCAGCAACUAGAAAUUAAUUUAUGGUAUUUAAUCCUGUGAAUAAAGCAAAAAGGCAUUUUAUUUGCUCUACAGUGUAUUAUCUACCAUAAAGCAACCCUAAAAAAAAGAUAAGUAACUGAUCUCCCCAAAUUAGUCUGGGAUUACCUUGAAUUUCUAAGUCUGACUUUAAGAGGUCCCUGGCAGGAAAUGUGUACGCCUCCGUACCUGUCUCUUGGGGAGAGCAACAACUUCAAACUGGUUGAAAACAAACUGGCAAGUAAUGGUGAAAGAUUCCUAAAGAUGCCUGCUGAGAAAAUUCAGCUUCUGUUUGAGUCAGAUCAAAUAAAUGAAAUCCUUUUCUUUUUUCUACUUUUUAAUAUUUUUAAACUUUUAUGGAAAUUUUCAAAGGCAAAAGUAAUACUACAAUAAAUCCUUAUAUACCGUCUACCCAGCUUCAACAUUUAGCAACAUAUGGCUAAGAUUAUUUAAUCUAUAGCCCUUCACAUUCCCUCACUCUUGCUGGAUUUUUAUCAUUUUAUCUGUAAAUACUUUAAAUAUGAAUAAUAUGAAUAGGUAAAAUAUAAUAGUUGUUUUUUGUUUGUUUGUUUUUGAGACUGAGACUUGCUUUUGUCGCCCAGGCUGGAGUGCAAUGGGGCGAUCUUGGCUCUUUGCAACCUCCGCCUCC